rnacentral:rRNA from 1 species
GACGAACGCUGGCGGCGUGCCUAAUACAUGCAAGUCGAACGCAGGGGGGACGGGUGAGUAACACGUGGGUAACCUCCCAUCAGAGGGGAUAACACUUGGAAACAGGUGCUAAACCGAUACUGAUGGAUGGACCCGGGGUGCAUUAGCUAGUUGGUGGUGUAACGGCGUACCACGGCCACGAUGCAUAGCGGGCCGUAGAGGGUGAUCGGCCACACUGGAACUGAGACACGGCCCAGACUCCUACGGUAGGAAGCAGUAGGGAAUCUUCGGCAAUGGACGAAAGUCUGACCCAGCAACGCCGCGUGGGUGAAGAAGGUUUUCGGAUCGUAAAACUCUGUUGUUAGAGAAGCGUUAUCUAACCAGAAAGCCACGGCUAACUACGUGCCAGCAGCCGCGGUAAUUC